rnacentral:rRNA from 2 species
AUGGGCGCAAGCCUGAUGCAGCCAUGCCGCGUGUGUGAAGAAGGCCUUCGGGUUGUAAAGCACUUUCAGUAGGGAGGAAGGUUCAGGCGUUAAUAGCGUAUGGAUUUGACGUUACCUACAGAAGAAGCACCGGCUAACUCCGUGCCAGCAGCCGCGGUAAUACGGAGGGUGCGAGCGUUAAUCGGAAUUACUGGGCGUAAAGCGCAUGCAGGUGGUUUGUUAAGUCAGAUGUGAAAGCCCGGGGCUCAACCUCGGAAUUGCAUUUGAAACUGGCAGACUAGAGUACUGUAGAGGGGGGUAGAAUUUCAGGUGUAGCGGUGAAAUGCGUAGAGAUCUGAAGGAAUACCGGUGGCGAAGGCGGCCCCCUGGACAGAUACUGACACUCAGAUGCGAAAGCGUGGGGAGCAAACAGGAUUAGAUACCCUGGUAGUCCACGCCGUAAACGAUGUCUACUUGGAGGUUGUGGCCUUGAGCCGUGGCUUUCGGAGCUAACGCGUUAAGUAGACCGCCUGG